CAUCGUCGUCUUCUUUUCGUAAAGCAAGUCUCUUUCCAUGCACAGACUUUGGUCUGCACAGACAAAAUAAGAGUCACAGCGCUGCCAGUUCAUAAUUAACAAUCCGAACGAGUAUCAGAACGUGACUUGAUAUAAAACACACGACGAAAGCAAACAAAAGACUAAGCAGCUUUCAAAUAAUCUGACCCAAUCAUGGCCCUUAAGACGCUAAUCAGAAUUUCAUCGCCUUGUUUGUUUUGUUUCGUUUUUUUCAGAUUCGACCGGUAUGUAUGACAAACUCCCCAACAUGACGUGUGUGCGUGCGUAUCUAUGUGGCCCAUCGUCGUGAUCGCGGACGAUGACAUGCGUCGAGUUCAUUAACCGCUAUACGUUGUGCUACCCGCUGCGACUAACAUCCCGUCAUUUCAAUCUUUAGGAACCAUCGUCUGCAUUCUUCCGUUACACGGCCAUCGAGUCACGAGAGGAUACGUGUUCCCUCCUCCCUACUGGCUCCUAUAUAACCGUCUAUACGUAUGCCUAAUGUAAGUAGAGCAGACGGCCACAACCGAAUGGCGUCAUCUUCAAUACGUUACAAUACAUCAGAGACUUUGAUCAACGAAAUGGGGUCCAGUCGUUCCCCCCCGUGAAAAAAAAAAAAAUUCACCAUUUUUAUUCUGCUGAAGGUGCUGUUACUGCUGCCGGAUUACACUGCAUAGUGCUGAAUCAUUUGGUAUUCAAGAACCAGACGACACGAUGAUUUACAGCCUCUACGUGUGUGUGUGUGUGUGAGUCUACAAUAUAUAUAGUACAUAUAUACAGCAGGAUAUAUAUGUUGUUACUCCAGAGCCCAGAGGUGCUGGUAAUAGCUUUUACACACACACACACACACACACACGAAUGUCUGUGGAGUAAGGAGACUAUACGAGAGCGGAGAGCCAUGGAAAUAUGCUGGUGCCCUGUGCUAUUUUGUUCCUUCUAUUUCUCUCUCGUUCAGUUUGGAUAGAUAUUUUUCUUUCGAAUGUAUAUAGUAUGUUGCAAUUCAAGGAGUUGAGAAGGGCCAAUAGCCAGCCACCAUAUCUGAAGAAGAGGCCACCAAUUGACCAUCACCGUCAGUUGCAGAUGGUUAUCUAUCACGGCCAACCGACCGGGAGCAGUGUAUCUCAACUGUCGCGUGCGGGGGGACCCAAAGGGUAGUGACCAACUUUGGCCCUUGUAUGCAAAUCAAAUCGUUCUCCUUUCACAUAACUCCCCUGAUACUUUCUUCCCAUCCAACCCCGUCCUUUCUAUGUACACCAAACAAGCAACCAUUCACCCAUUUCGGAGCUGUCUCAAACUUUUUCUUUUUUUUUGCCUCCCGUUGGACCCUUCUUGCGCCCUCUAUAUUUUAUGCCAACCGGCUAACAAUCAAAUUAUGCUAAUCGACUCUAUAACGUGCGUCCAAUUUUGUGUCAAAACCCUCCCCAAACGUCAAAUCGCAUCAGUUUAUCAUGAAAGCGCGGCAGUGGCAACGGAUCUUCCGGUUGACUAUUCAUGUUGCGACGGAAUCGACGGCGGUGGCGCUGGACGCCAAGGACCCCAUUAAACACGACACACACACACACACACACACAAAAAUAGGUUGCAUCCCGCACAUUACGCAACGAUCCAAAGUUCCUCGUUCACGCUUUGUUUACACAUCAAUAUCUUCUGCUGCCUCGUGCAGAACAUUUGCUCUCUCAAAAACAUACUAAUAAUAAUAAUAAUAAAUAAUAAUAAAA